rnacentral:tRNA from 2 species
GGGGGUUUAGCUCAGUUGGGAGAGCACCUGCUUUGCAAGCAGGGGGUCGUCGGUUCGAUCCCGUCAACCUCCACCA